rnacentral:rRNA from 1 species
UACGUAGGGGGCUAGCGUUGUCCGGAAUCAUUGGGCGUAAAGCGCGUGUAGGCGGCCCGGUAAGUCCGCUGUGAAAGUCGGGGGCUCAACCCUCGGAUGCCGGUGGAUACUGUCGGGCUAGAGUGCGGAAGAGGCGAGUGGAAUUCUUGGUGUAGCGGUGAAAUGCGCAGAUAUCAGGAGGAACACCAAUUGCGAAGGCAGCUCGCUGGGACGUGACUGACGCUGAGACGCGAAAGCGUGGGGAGCAAACAGG